GGACUACAGGGGUAUCUAAUCCCGUUUGCUCCCCUGGCUUUCGCGCCUCAGCGUCAGCAGAGGUCCAGCACGUCGCUUUCGCCACCGGCGUUCCUUCCGAUAUCUACGCAUUUCACCGCUCCACCGGAAGUUCCACAUGCCCCUACCUCCCUCCAGACAACCAGUAUCAGGGGCCCUUGUCCGGUUGAGCCGAACGAUUUCACCUCUGACUUGGCCGCCCGCCUACGCGCCCUUUAAGCCCAGUGAUUCCGAACAACGUUUGCACGGUUCGUCUUACCGCGGCUGCUGGCAC
rnacentral:rRNA from 1 species